AGAGUUUGAUCAUGGCUCAGAACGAACGCUGGCGGCAUGCCUAACACAUGCAAGUCGAACGAACUCUUCGGAGUUAGUGGCGCACGGGUGCGUAACGCGUGGGAAUCUGCCCUUGGGUACGGAAUAACUCAGAGAAAUUUGUGCUAAUACCGUAUAAUGACUUCGGUCAAAAGAUUUAUCGCCCAAGGAUGAGCCCGCGUAAGAUUAGCUAGUUGGUGGGGUAAAGGCCUACCAAGGCUACGAUCUUUAGCUGGUCUGAGAGGAUGAUCAGCCACACUGGGACUGAGACACGGCCCAGACUCCUACGGGAGGCAGCAGUGGGGAAUAUUGGACAAUGGGCGAAAGCCUGAUCCAGCAAUGCCGCGUGAGUGAUGAAGGCCUUAGGGUUGUAAAGCUCUUUUACCCGGGAUGAUAAUGACAGUACCGGGAGAAUAAGCUCCGGCUAACUCCGUGCCAGCAGCCGCGGUAAUACGGAGGGAGCUAGCGUUGUUCGGAAUUACUGGGCGUAAAGCGCGCGUAGGCGGUUUUUUAAGUCAGAGGUGAAAGCCCAGUGCUCAACACUGGAACUGCCUUUGAAACUGGAAAACUUGAAUCUUGGAGAGGUCAGUGGAAUUCCGAGUGUAGAGGUGAAAUUCGUAGAUAUUCGGAAGAACACCAGUGGCGAAGGCGACUGACUGGACAAGUAUUGACGCUGAGGUGCGAAAGCGUGGUGAGCAAACAGGAUUAGAUACCCCGGUAGUCC
rnacentral:rRNA from 1 species